GGGUGUGGACACAGGGACCCCACCCAGCGCACAGCCCUCUGACCUCUGCUCACUUGCCUCAGUGUCCCCAGUUGUCCUCAUCCAGGGUGCUAUUCGAGUCCAGCCUGAAGGGCCGGCUCCCUCUCUACCACGGCCUGAGAGGAAGAGCAUCGUUCCCGCUCCUAUGCCUGGAAACUCCUGCCCGCCUGAAGUGGAUGCAAAGCUGCUGAAGCGGCAGCAGCGAAUGAUCAAGAACCGGGAGUCAGCCUGCCAGUCCCGGAGAAAGAAGAAAGAGUAUCUGCAGGGACUGGAGGCUCGGCUGCAAGCAGUACUGGCUGACAACCAGCAGCUCCGCCGGGAGAAUGCUGCCCUCCGGCGGCGGCUGGAGGCCCUGCUGGCUGAAGUAAGACCAGUCUGUCCCUGGGAGACCAACAGGAAUACAGCCUCCUUGGAAUGAUUCCCCUUUUUCUUGUCUCUUUCUUUGUACCUUAGAACAGCGAGCUCAAGUUAGGGUCUGGAAACAGGAAGAUGGUCUGCAUCAUGGUCUUCCUUCUCUUCAUUGCCUUCAACUUUGGACCUGUC
rnacentral:sRNA from 1 species